GACGAACGCUGGCGGCGUGCUUAACACAUGCAAGUCGAGCGGUAAGGCCCUUUCGGGGGUACACGAGCGGCGAACGGGUGAGUAACACGUGGGUGACCUGCCCUCAGCUCUGGGAUAAGCCUGGGAAACCGGGUCUAAUACCGGAUAUGACCUCAUGACGCAUGUUGGUGGGGUGAAAGCCUUGUGCGGCUGAGGAUGGGCCCGCGGCCUAUCAGCUUGUUGGUGGGGUGAUGGCCUACAAGGCGACGACGGGUAGCCGGCCUGAGAGGGCGACCGGCCACACUGGGACUGAGACACGGCCCAGACUCCUACGGGAGGCA
rnacentral:rRNA from 1 species